rnacentral:rRNA from 1 species
UACGUAGGGUCCGAGCGUUUGUCCGGAAUUAUUGGGCGUAAAGAGCUCGUAGGCGGUUUGUCGCGUCUGCUGUGAAAUCCCGAGGCUCAACCUCGGGUCUGCAGUGGGUACGGGCAGACUGGAGUGCGGUAGGGGAGAAUGGAAUUCCUGGUGUAGCGGUGGAAUGCGCAGAUAUCAGGAGGAACACCGAUGGCGAAGGCAGUUCUCUGGGCCGUAACUGACGCUGAGGAGCGAAAGCGUGGGGGAGCGAACAGG